rnacentral:lncRNA from 1 species
AGAACCUGUGCUGUGGCAGGCACUGUUCAGUGCAGCGUGGGUACAGUGGGCCCCAAAGAAAGUCCCCGUCUUCGCGGAGCUUCGGUGCUAGUGAGCAACUAACUCUUUGAACAACUCUGUUACAAUCAUGAGGAAACAGCCUUAGGUUAAUUAACUUAUCAAAAUUGCAGAUUUUGGAAACUGUGAAUUUAGAGCCCGUGCUUUUUCUGUUCUCCCAGGCUUUUUGGUGAGAGUGGAUAAAUUCUCCAAGCGGAGUCCAAGUUCUGCACUCUAAGCAAUUGUCUUUGAUGCCACCCCCUCCAGCCUGUCCUUCUUGAGCUGUGUUGAAAAGGAAAUGGAGUACAGUUUAUUCAUCUAAUAAUUUUUUUUUCUACAUUGUGCUAAGUAUUCUGCUAGACUUUGGGAAUUUGGAGGUUAAAAAAAAAAAAAAAAAAAAAAAACACUAAGCCUGUGGGACUUUUGGUUUUUCUGAGGUUUAUACUUUUCAUGGAGCAAACAUUUAUUGAGCAUAUUGUUGAGCCCCAGGCAUCAUGGUGUGUUAGUCAGCUUUCCAUUACUAUUACAGAAUACCUGAAAUAACCUAAUAAGGGAAAAGAUUUAUUUUGGCUCAUAAUUUUAAUGAAUGGUUGAUUGGCCCCCACUGCCUUUGGGCCUGUGGUGGGAAGUUGAGGUGGAAGAAACUGCUCACUCAUAGCAACUAGGAAGCAAAGAAGUAGAUUAAGGGGCAGGAGUCCCAAUGUCCUCUGUACACCAUUCCCCAAUGACUUAACUUCCUUCAACUAGGUCUCACUAACUAUCAGUAGUGCCAUGGGCUGGAGACCAAGCUUUACCACAUGGUACUUUGAGGGACAUUUCAGAUCUAAAUUAUGAGCAGGAUAAGUGCUGCAUCUGUAAUGAAUUGUAGGAAAGAUUUAAUCCAUCUCUUGAAAAAGCACUCUUAGGUCAUGAAACCGUAAGCCACAAUCCUAAGAUGAUAAUAAUAUCUUGCAAUUAUUAACAGUUUAUAAAACAUUUUAAUAUACAGUAUCUCAAUGGAUCAUUGAAGAAGGUAUUGUCCUCACUUCAUAGAUAAGAA